rnacentral:rRNA from 1 species
GACGAACGCUGGCGGCGUGCUUAACACAUGCAAGUCGAACGGAAAGGCCCUGCUUUUGUGGGGUGCUCGAGUGGCGAACGGGUGAGUAACACGUGAGUAACCUGCCCUUGACUUUGGGAUAACUUCAGGAAACUGGGGCUAAUACCGGAUAGGAGCUCCUGCUGCAUGGUGGGGGUUGGAAAGUUUCGGCGGUUGGGGAUGUACUCGCGGCUUAUCAGCUUGUUGGUGGGGUAGUGGCUUACCAAGGCUUUGACGGGUAGCCGGCCUGAGAGGGUGACCGGCGACAUUGGGACUGAGAUACGGCGCAGACUCGUACGGGAGGCAGCAGUGGGGAAUAUGAAACAAUGGGCGGAAGCGUGAUGCAGAGACGCCGCGUGCGGGAUGACGGCCUUCGGGUUGUAAACCGCUUUCGCCUGUGACGAAGCGUGAGUGACGGUAAUGGGUAAAGAAGCACCGGCUAACUACGUG